rnacentral:sRNA from 1 species
AGUUCUUAUGUGUUGGCAUGGUUACGAGAU